rnacentral:rRNA from 1 species
GAUCGGCCACAUUGGAACUGAGACACGGUCCAAACUCCUACGGGAGGCAGCAGUGGGGAAUAUUGCACAAUGGGCGAAAGCCUGAUGCAGCAACGCCGCGUGAGUGAUGAAGGCCUUCGGGUCGUAAAACUCUGUCCUCAAGGCAGAUAAUGACGGUACUUGAGGAGGAAGCCCCGGCUAACUACGUGCCAGCAGCCGCGGUAAUACGUAGGGGGCUAGCGUUAUCCGG